ACACUCCUGCGGGAGGCAGCAGUGGGGAAUUUUGGACAAUGGGCGAAAGCCUGAUCCAGCCAUGCCGCGUGCAGGAUGAAGGCCUUCGGGUUGUAAACUGCUUUUGUACGGAACGAAACGGCCUUUUCUAAUAAAGAGGGCUAAUGACGGUACCGUAAGAAUAAGCACCGGCUAACUACGUGCCAGCAGCCGCGGUAAUACGUAGGGUGCAAGCGUUAAUCGGAAUUACUGGGCGUAAAGCGUGCGCAGGCGGUUAUGUAAGACAGUUGUGAAAUCCCCGGGCUCAACCUGGGAACUGCAUCUGUGACUGCAUAGCUAGAGUACGGUAGAGGGGGAUGGAAUUCCGCGUGUAGCAGUGAAAUGCGUAGAUAUGCGGAGGAACACCGAUGGCGAAGGCAAUCCCCUGGACCUGUACUGACGCUCAUGCACGAAAGCGUGGGGAGCAAACAGGAUUAGAAACCCGAGUAGUCCCAUG
rnacentral:rRNA from 1 species